UACGUAGGUGGCAAGCGUUAUCCGGAAUUAUUGGGCGUAAAGCGCGCGUAGGCGGUUUUUUAAGUCUGAUGUGAAAGCCCACGGCUCAACCGUGGAGGGUCAUUGGAAACUGGAAAACUUGAGUGCAGAAGAGGAAAGUGGAAUUCCAUGUGUAGCGGUGAAAUGCGUAGAUAUGUGGAGGAACACCAGUGGCGAAGGCGACUCUCUGGUCUGUAACUGACGCUGAGGCGCGAAAGCGUGGGGAGCAAACAGG
rnacentral:rRNA from 1 species